AACUAACGCUGGCGGCGUGCCUAACACAUGCAAGUCGUACGAGAAAGCCGGCUUCGGCUGGUGAGUAAAGUGGCGCACGGGUGAGUAACGCGUGGAUAAUCUGCCCUUAAGUGUGGAAUAACGUACCGAAAGGUGCGCUAAUACCGCAUAAUGCCUGGCAACACAAGUUGUCCGGCCAAAGAAGGCCUCUGUUUACAAGCUUUCGCUUCAGGAUGAGUCCGCGUACCAUUAGCUUGUUGGUGGGGUAAUGGCCUACCAAGGCUGCGAUGGUUAGUUGGUCUGAGAGGAUGAUCAGCCACACUGGAACUGAGACACGGUCCAGACUCCUACGGGAGGCAGCAGUGAGGAAUAUUGCGCAAUGGGGGCAACCCUGACGCAGCAACGCCGCGUGAGUGAGGAAGGUUUUCGGACUGUAAAGCUCUGUCGAGCGGGAAGAAGUGUACCAUGGCUAAUAUCCAUGAUAUUUGACGGUACCGCUAGAGGAAGCACC
rnacentral:rRNA from 1 species